rnacentral:rRNA from 1 species
GUGGGGAAUUUUGGACAAUGGGCGCAAGCUUGAUCCAGCAAUGCCGCGUGCAGGAAGAAGGCCUUCGGGUUGUAAACUGCUUUUGUACGGAACGAAACGGUCCUGGUUAAUACCUGGGGCUAAUGACGGUACCGUAAGAAUAAGCACCGGCUAACUACGUGCCAGCAGCCGCGGUAAUACGUAGGGUGCGAGCGUUAAUCGGAAUUACUGGGCGUAAAGCGUGCGCAGGCGGUGCUGUAAGACAGGCGUGAAAUCCCCGGGCUCAACCUGGGAAUUGCGCUUGUGACUGCAGUGCUGGAGUACGACAGAGGGGGAUGGAAUUCCGCGUGUAGCAGUGAAAUGCGUAGAUAUGCGGAGGAACACCGAUGGCGAAGGCAGUCCCCUGGGCCUGUACUGACGCUCAUGCACGAAAGCGUGGGGAGCAAACAGGAUUAGAUACCCGGGUAGUCC